rnacentral:rRNA from 1 species
CCUACGGGUGGCUGCAGUAGGGAAUCUUCCGCAAUGGACGAAAGUCUGACGGAGCAACGCCGCGUGAGCGAAGAAGGUCUUCGGAUCGUAAAGCUCUGUUGUUAGGGAAGAACAAGUACGGGAGGAAAUGACCGUACCUUGACGGUACCUUAGGAGGAAGCCCCGGCUAACUACGUGCCAGCAGCCGCGGUAAUACGUAGGGGGCGAGCGUUAUCCGGAAUUAUUGGGCGUAAAGGGUGCGUAGGCGGCCUUGUAAGUCAGGUGUGAAAGGCUACGGCUCAACCGUAGUUAGCACUUGAAACUGCAGGGCUUGAGUGCAGGAGAGGAGAGUGGAAUUCCUAGUGUAGCGGUGAAAUGCGUAGAUAUUAGGAGGAACACCAGUGGCGAAGGCGACUCUCUGGACUGUAACUGACGCUGAGGCACGAAAGCGUGGGGAGCGAACAGGAUUAGAUACCCCAGUAGUC